AAAGUCGUAACAAGGUAACCGUAGGUGAACCUGCGGUUGGAUCAUUAUUAAAUGUACAGCCGGCUCUCCUUUCGGGGAUUGAGCUAGCUACCAACCCCUUGUGAACUGUAAUCGUAUCUGGGCAGUUUGGUUGAGGCUACUACUUGUGAGUGGCCACGAUCUCUGCCCGACCAUAUAAAAACCCCUUUUUAAUUUGACUGAUAUAGAGUAAUAAAAGAGAAACAACUUUUGACAACGGAUCUCUUGGCUCUC
rnacentral:misc_RNA from 1 species